rnacentral:lncRNA from 1 species
AUCGCGAUUGCAAAGGGCUGCCUGAGUGCCCUUUCUUUGCAGAGACCUCUUCCUUUACCUGUUGCAUAAACGUUUCCAAAGAUUUUGACUUAACUUCUCGCGUGGCAGGUGUUCCUCUUGGCUCAUAUGUCUUCCACUACAACCUAUAAGGGAAAAGACUCCUAAGCAGCUAUACCUCAGUCUCUCUCCUAAGCGCCAGAGAGGGAGACAGGACAUUUCCAACUGGUGGUCUGAAAGCAUCUUCAAUAUGAGCAAAACUUGCUCAGCAUUUGCCACCUAAACAUGUUCCUCUUCCGGUUUUUCUGGAAAAACAGUAAUUCCAUCUACUCAGGUACCAAAUCGUCAAUGUCUCCAGUUGGAGAGAUUUCUUGGACUCUUCCCUCUGUGUGACUCCCUGCCUGCCCCACUCUGAUAAUUACAUCUGCCAGUUCUGCCUUCUAAAAUCUAUCCAGCAAUCCUCCCAGUUUAUCCCCACAGUGGUGGUCUACCUUGCUUUAGGUCCUUUCCACCUUUUACCAGGACCAGUUUCUAAUGAUUCUGUUUCUCCGUCUUGCCUCCUAUGCACACCAAUUUAUUGUCCAUGCUGUAGAGAAAGAAAACUUUUUGAAAGAUAAUCUGAUCAUGCCACUUGUUGGCCCCAUAGUACCCUGAGACACUCUCUUCACACCACGCUGUGAUUGAAGGUUUUCCUCUCUGUCCGACUCAGCAGUGCCGACUCAGCAGUGCCGUACUGUGGAUGACUUUGAGCCUUCUUACCACUGUAUCCCCAGGGCCUAACACAUUAGUGCUGUGUGCUAAUAAAGACUUGUUGAUCAAAGGAGUGAAACUACUUUAAUUUAAAUACUUUGUUCUUUUAAAAAUAGAACAUAGGAGGGUCAACAUAAGAGUAAUCUAUUUUGUGAGACAAAGAGAGUACACUGUUUACAUUCUAUCUAUUCUAUAAUGUUUUCUUGUCUAAUGAAUUAGAAUACAUACUUUUGAAAAUAAAAAUAUAUUUGUGAGGUAUCAUUUAAUACUAGUGCCACUUACAGUUCUAGUCUGCAAACAAAUAUUUUGUUUUAAACCUCUG